rnacentral:rRNA from 1 species
CUAUUAGUUUUGCAAUUGGAUUGAGAACAACGUACAAACCUUAUCGAUAAACAAUUGGAGGGCAAGUCUGGUGCCAGCAGCCGCGGUAAUUCCAGCUCCAAUAGCGUAUAUUAACGUUGUUGCAGUUAAAAAGCUCGUAGUUGAAGUGAAGUGAACAAAGAAGAGAAGAAUCUUCGGAUUCGGAUCUAAUGCGUUGACUCUUUCCAAAGUCAAUGUAUGGGUAUUCAUUUAUCUAUAUAUUGUGUUUGGUCGUUUACUGUGAGAAAAUUAGAGUGUUCAAAGCAGACGUUUGUUUGAAUACAUUAGCAUGGAAUAAUCAUAUAAGGCUUUCAUGUGUAUUUGAUUGGUUUGGAUAUGAAAGCAAGGUUAAUAGGGACAGUUGGGGGUAUUCAUAUUCAAUAGUCAGAGGUGAAAUUCUCGGAUUUAUGGAAGAU